rnacentral:lncRNA from 1 species
CUUCUACCUUGUUAGUUGAAGCGUGGGUUCUGAGUUCUGACUUCUGAUAGAAGAGACGCCAUUUCCUUUGUUUGGGGUUGUGAUGUUAGCUUAUUAACUGGAUUAGUGGAUUGCUACUUGCCAGGCAUUUCUUAGAAUUUGUGAUGGGUUUUAGUUAGUUCGGGUUGGCGGUUGGUGAUCUCGCUAUUAUUAUUGAUGAAUUUUGAUGCUUAAGACUUGGAAACAUGCUGUCUACCACAUCCAGAAGCUGAGUAACAUUUUACAUGUGGAAAGUUCUGAAUGGCAUCUUUUAAUAUAAGGAGCUUCCGCCAACCAGUCUAGGACUUGCAUCUAAUUGUGCAGGUUUCGUGGAGUUCUCAUUUACCUUUGCUGAGAACAUCAUGAACACAUACACUAUUUGAAGGUUCAUGUUUACGGAGCAGUGGUGUUGCUGUCCAGUGUGGCGUGUUGUUGCAGCCUAUGGUGGUGAAAGAUAUCUGCAUCAAGUUGCUGUUCCUUGUGCAUCCAAGGUGCUGGUUUUGUGCUACAGAAGCAAGUGACAUCCAAAAUUGUGUUUAAUUGCUAUUUGUGUCUUUGCCGUUUAUCUUUAUAUAUUGAGAAGGAACAAAAAAAAGUAUUACGGGGAGGUUUAUGUCAAACAAAUAAUAAACAUGUCCGGGAUGGGGGAAUGAGGAGGAAGUUGGAGUGGGGUAUUUGAUUAUGAUUUACUAAAAGAAGUGAGGUAUAUUUUUAAUGAAUAUGCAGUACUUGGUGAUAGAAACUGUUGUUAACCUAUACCUUCCUGUCUAUACCUUCCCUACUUCCACUUACACAUCCAUUCCUCAAACCUCAUAAGCACCAACAUCAAAUCUCACAUAUCCACUCACAUCCAUUCCUAAAACCCCACAAUCUCCCCACACCCAAUAUUCACACAAUAGUUGUAUAUCUAUAAACAUAUUUAAAUGUAAAUAAAAAAAAUGCAUUGUAUA